rnacentral:rRNA from 1 species
AUGAACGCUGGCGGCGUGCCUAAUACAUGCAAGUCGAGCGAACGGACGAGAAGCUUGCUUCUCUGAUGUUAGCGGCGGACGGGUGAGUAACACGUGGAUAACCUACCUAUAAGACUGGGAUAACUUCGGGAAACCGGAGCUAACACCGGAUAAUAUUUUGAACCGCAUGGUUCAAAAGUGAAAGACGGUCUUGCUGUCACUUAUAGAUGGAUCCGCGCUGCAUUAGCUAGUUGGUAAGGUAACGGCUUACCAAGGCAACGAUGCAUAGCCGACCUGAGAGGGUGAUCGGCCACACUGGAACUGAGACACGGUCCAGACUCCUACGGGAGGCAGCAGUAGGGAAUCUUCCGCAAAGGGCGAAAGCCUGACGGAGCAACGCCGCGUGAGUGAUGAAGGUCUUCGGAUCGUAAAACUCUGUUAUUAGGGAAGAACAUAUGUGUAAGUAACUGUGCACAUCUUGACGGUACCUAAUCAGAAAGCCACGGCUAACUACGUG